rnacentral:rRNA from 1 species
GAUGAACGCUGGCGGCGUGCCUAAUACAUGCAAGUCGAGCGAACGGACGAGAAGCUUGCUUCUCUGAUGUUAGCGGCGGACGGGUGAGUAACACGUGGAUAACCUACCUAUAAGACUGGGAUAACUUCGGGAAACCGUAGCUAAUACCGGAUAAUAUUUUGAACCGCAUGGUUCAAAAGUGAAAUACGGUCUUGCUGUCACUUAUAGAUGGAUCCGCGCUGCAUUAGCUAGUUGGUAAGGUAACGGCUUAUCAAGGCAACGAUGCAUAGCCGACCUGUGAGGGUGAUCGGCCACACUGGAACGGAGACACGGUCCAGACUCCUACGGGAGGCAGCAGUAGGGAACCUUCCGCAAUGGGCGAAAGCCUGACGGAGCAACGCCGCGUGAGUGAUGAAGGUCUUCGGAUCGUAAAACUCUGUUAUUAGGGAAGAACAUAUGUGUAAGUAGCUGUGCACAUCUUGACGGUACCUAAUCAGAAAGCCACGGCUAACUACGUG